CCUACGGGAGGCAGCAGGGGGGAAUAUUGGGCAAUGGGCGCAAGCCUGACCCAGCAACGCCGCGUGAAGGAAGAAGGCCCUCGGGUUGUAAACUUCUUUUGUCAGGGACGAAACAAAGGACGGUACCUGACGAAUAAGCCACGGCUAACUACUGGCACGCAGCCGCGGUAAUACGUAGGUGGCAAGCGUUAUCCGGAUUUACUGGGUGUAAAGGGCGUGUAGGCGGGAGAGCAAGUCAGAUGUGAAAUUCCAGGGCUCAACCCUGGAACUGCAUUUGAAACUGUUUUUCUUGAGUGAUGGAGAGGCAGGCGGAAUUCCGUGUGUAGCGGUGAAAUGCGUAGAUAUACGGAGGAACACCAGUGGCGAAGGCGGCCUGCUGGACAUUAACUGACGCUGAGGCGCGAAAGCGUGGGGAGCAAACAGGAUUAGAUACCCGAGUAGUC
rnacentral:rRNA from 1 species